UAACUGCAAGAGUAAACUUGUUCAUAUUUCUAAUCAAGGUACAAGAAACCAUAAUGAGCAUAACUUGAUUAUGAGACUUGGCAAAAAAGGAACUCUCUCCAGGUAUGUUAGGAGUUUCUGAAGAAAAGCUAGAGGUUCCAACAAAAUUGGGAACAUAAGGAUGCUGUAAUUGAUGCAUCUGAGCCAAAUGAACAGAUUGAUUCCAAGCAGCUGCAAACGAGGUCUCAAACUUUAUAUCUUAAAGUUACAUACGUGUUUAUGUUUAUUUUACACAGUUGAGUAACCCACAAAAAUGUAUAACAAUAUAAAAUGAUGCAUCAGCUAGUACAGAUCACAGUGUUCAAAUACAUAUACUAUA